rnacentral:rRNA from 3 species
AAUCCAUAGGUUAAUGAGGCGAACCGGGGGAACUGAAACAUCUAAGUACCCCGAGGAAAAGAAAUCAACCGAGAUUCCCCCAGUAGCGGCGAGCGAACGGGGAGGAGCCCAGAGCCUGAAUCAGCAUGUGUGUUAGUGGAAGCGUCUGGAAAGGCGCGCGAUACAGGGUGACAGCCCCGUACACAAAAGCGCAUGUGCUGUGAGCUCGAUGAGUAGGGCGGGACACGUGGUAUCCUGUCUGAAUAUGGGGGGACCAUCCUCCAAGGCUAAAUACUCCUGACUGACCGAUAGUGAACCAGUACCGUGAGGGAAAGGCGAAAAGAACCCCGGCGAGGGGAGUGAAAAAGAACCUGAAACCGUGUACGUACAAGCAGUGGGAGCACCCUUUGGGUGUGACUGCGUACCUUUUGUAUAAUGGGUCAGCGACUUAUAUUCUGUAGCAAGGUUAACCGAAUAGGGGAGCCGGAGGGAAACCGAGUCUUAACCGGGCGUUAAGUUGCAGGGUAUAGACCCGAAACCCGGUGAUCUAGCCAUGGGCAGGUUGAAGGUUGGGUAACACUAACUGGAGGACCGAACCGACUAAUGUUGAAAAAUUAGCGGAUGACCUGUGGCUGGGGGUGAAAGGCCAAUCAAACCGGGAGAUAGCUGGUUCUCCCCGAAAGCUAUUUAGGUAGCGCCUCGUGAAUUCAUCUCCGGGGGUAGAGCACUGUUUCGGCUAGGGGGCCAUCCCGGCUUACCAACCCGAUGCAAACUGCGAAUACCGGAGAAUGUUAUCACGGGAGACACACGGCGGGUGCUAACGUCCGUCGUGAAGAGGGAAACAACCCAGACCGCCAGCUAAGGUCCCAAAGUCAUGGUUAAGUGGGAAACGAUGUGGGAAGGCCCAGACAGCCAGGAUGUUGGCUUAGAAGCAGCCAUCAUUUAAAGAAAGCGUAAUAGCUCACUGGUCGAGUCGGCCUGCGCGGAAGAUGUAACGGGGCUAAACCAUGCACCGAAGCUGCGGCAGCGA